UACAGAGGGGGCAAGCGUUGUUCGGAAUUACUGGGUUUAAAGGGUGCGCAGGCGGAUAUGUAAGUCAGUGGUGAAAUCUCCAGGCUUAACCUGGAAAUUGCCGUUGAUACUAUAUAUCUUGAAUGCUGUGGAGGUAAGCGGAAUAUGUCAUGUAGCGGUGAAAUGCUUAGAUAUGACAUAGAACACCUAUUGCGAAGGCAGCUUACUACACAGAUAUUGACGCUCAUGCACGAAAGCGUGGGGAUCAAACAGG
rnacentral:rRNA from 1 species